rnacentral:tRNA from 1 species
UCCUUUAUAAUAUAAUUGGGUAUAUUGAUUUUGUAAGUCAAAAGAAAAUGGUAAAUUUUAGAGGAA